GCUUGCUUCYUUGAGACCGGCGCACGGGUGCGUAACGCGUAUGCAAUCUACCUUUCACAAAGGGAUAGCCCAGAGAAAUUUGGAUUAAUACCUUAUAGUAUAGCAGUCUCGCAUGAGAYCACUAUUAAAGAUUUAUCGGUGAAAGAUGAGCAUGCGUCCCAUUAGCUAGUUGGUAUGGUAACGGCAUACCAAGGCAACGAUGGGUAGGGGUCCUGAGAGGGAGAUCCCCCACACUGGUACUGAGACACGGACCAGACUCCUACGGGAGGCAGCAGUGAGGAAUAUUGGACAAUGGGCGCAAGCCUGAUCCAGCCAUGCCGCGUGCAGGAUGACGGUCCUAUGGAUUGUAAACUGCUUUUAUACAGGAAGAAACACCUCUACGUGUAGAGACUUGACGGUACUGUAAGAAUAAGGAUCGGCUAACUCCGUGCCAGCAGCCGCGGUAAUACGGAGGAUCCAAGCGUUAUCCGGAAUCAUUGGGUUUAAAGGGUCCGUAGGCGGUCAGAUAAGUCAGUGGUGAAAGCCCAUCGCUCAACGGUGGAACGGCCAUUGAUACUGUCUGACUUGAAUUAUUAGGAAGUAACUAGAAUAUGUAGUGUAGCGGUGAAAUGCUUAGAGAUUACAUGGAAUACCAAUUGCGAAGGCAGGUUACUACUAAUAUAUUGACGCUGAUGGACGAAAGCGUGGGUAGCGAACAGGAUUAGAUACCCUGGUAGUCCACGCCGUAAACGAUGGAUACUAGCUGUUGGGAGCAAUCUCAGUGGCUAAGCGAAAGUGAUAAGUAUCCCACCUGGGGAGUACGAACGCAAGUUUGAAACUCAAAGGAAUUGACGGGGGCCCGCACAAGCGGUGGAGCAUGUGGUUUAAUUCGAUGAUACGCGAGGAACCUUACCAAGGCUUAAAUGUAGAUUGACCGGUUUGGAAACAGAUCUUUCGCAAGACAAUUUACAAGGUGCUGCAUGGUUGUCGUCAGCUCGUGCCGUGAGGUGUCAGGUUAAGUCCUAUAACGAGCGCAACCCCUGUUGUUAGUUGCCAGCGAGUCAUGUCGGGAACUCUAACGAGACUGCCAGUGCAAACUGUGAGGAAGGUGGGGAUGACGUCAAAUCAUCACGGCCCUUACGCCUUGGGCUANNNACGUGCUACAAUGGCCGGUACAAAAAGCA
rnacentral:rRNA from 1 species